rnacentral:tRNA from 1 species
UGGGGUAUAGCUCAGGGGUAGAGCCAAUGCUUAGGAUGCAGUAGUUCCUGGGUUCAAUCCCCAGUACCUUCA